CUACGCCUACGGGGCGCAGCAGUGGGGAAUAUUGCACAAUGGGGGAAACCCUGAUGCAGCGACGCCGCGUGAGCGAAGAAGUACCUCGGUAUGUAAAGCUCUAUCAGCAGGGAAGAAGAUGACGGUACCUGACCAAGAAGCUCCGGCUAAAUACGUGCCAGCAGCCGCGGUAAUACGUAGGGGGCAAGCGUUAUCCGGCUUUACUGGGUGUAAAGGGAGCGCAGACGGCAGUGCAAGUCUGGAGUGAAAGCCCGGGGCCCAACCCCGGAACUGCUCUGGAAACUGCGCGGCUAGAGU
rnacentral:rRNA from 1 species